rnacentral:rRNA from 1 species
AAAACAUUUUCUUUAGAUUUAAUUAAAGGUAAGACCUGCUCAAUGAGUAUUAAAUGGCCGCAGUAUAAUGACUGUGCUAAGGUAGCAUAAUAAUUUGCCUCUUAAUUGGGGGCUGGAAUGAAAGGUUUUAUGGAGAAUAGCUAUUUUAAUAAAAUAAAAUUGAAUUUAAGAUUUGCAUAAAAACUUGCAGAUGAUCUCAAGGGACGAGAAGACCCUGUGGAUUUUUAUUCAGUAAAAAAUAAAUUUAAUAACUUUUUAUUUUGUGUUUGAGUUUAGUUGGGAUGACGGUGAUUUAACUUUAUUAUUGUAAUGUAGGAUCCUAUUUAAGGAAAAAAGAACAAAUUACCCCAGGGAUAACAGCGUAAUGCUUUUGGACAGGACAUAUGGAUAAAAGUGUUUGCGACCUCGAUGUUGAAUUAAAAUUUCUUUGUUAAGCAUAAAUAAUGAAAGUAAGUCUGUUCGACUUUUAAAAUUUUACGUGAUC